rnacentral:rRNA from 1 species
UUUUGGCUCAGGACGAACGCUGGCGGGAGGCCUAACACAUGCAAGCCGAGCGGUAGAGAUCUUUCGGGAUCUUGAGAGCGGCGUACGGGUGCGGAACACGUGUGCAACCUGCCUUUAUCUGGGGGAUAGCCUUUCGAAAGGAAGAUUAAUACCCCAUAAUAUAAGAGACGGCAUCGUUUUUUAUUGAAAACUCCGGUGGAUAGAGAUGGGCACGCGCAAGAUUAGAUAGUUGGUGAGGUAACGGCUCACCAAGUCUACGAUCUUUAGGGGGCUCUGAGAGGGUGAUCCCCCACACUGGUACUGAGACACGGACCAGACUCCUACGGGAGGCAGCAGUAGGAG